UACGUAGGGUGCGAGCGUUAAUCGGAAUUACUGGGCGUAAAGCGUGCGCAGGCGGUUUGUUAAGUCUGUUGUGAAAUCCCCGAGCUCAACUUGGGAAUUGCAAUGGAUACUGGCAGGCUGGAGUAUGGUAGAGGAAGGUGGAAUUCCCGGUGUAGCAGUGAAAUGCGUAGAGAUCGGGAGGAACACCAGUGGCGAAGGCGGCCAUCUGGGACAACACUGACGCUGAAGCACGAAAGCGUGGGGAGCAAACAGG
rnacentral:rRNA from 1 species